GAUGAACGCUGGCGGCGUGCCUAAUACAUGCAAGUCGAGCGAACGGACGAGAAGCUUGCUUCUCUGAUGUUAGCGGCGGACGGGUGAGUAACACGUGGAUACCCUACCUAUAAGACUGGGAUCACUUCGGGAAACCGGAGCUAAUACCGGAUAAUAUUUUGAACCGCAUGGUUCAAAAGUGAAAGACGGUCUUGCUGUCACUUAUAGAUGGAUCCGCGCUGCAUUAGCUAGUUGGUAAGGUAACGGCUUACCAAGGCAACGAUGCAUAGCCGACCUGAGAGGGUGAUCGGCGACACGGGAACGGAGACGCGGACCAGACUCCUACGGGAGGCAGCAGUAGGGAAUCUUCCGCAAUGGGCGAAAGCCUGACGGAGCAACGCGGCGUGAGUGAUGAAGGUCUUCGGAUCGUAAAACUCUGUUAUGAGGGAAGAACAUAUGUGUAAGUAGCUGUGCACAUCUUGACGGUACCUAAUCAGAAAGCCACGGCUAACUACGUG
rnacentral:rRNA from 1 species